rnacentral:piRNA from 1 species
UAUGUUUUAUUCGUAACUUCUGGAGCCU